UUGCACGCUGGCGGCAGGCCUAACCCCUGCAAGUCGCGCGGAUGAAGGGAGCUUGCUCCUGGAUUCAGCGGCGGACGGGUGAGUAAUGCCUAGGAAUCUGCCUGGUAGUGGGGGAUAACGUCCGGAAACGGGCGCUAAUACCGCAUACGUCCUGAGGGAGAAAGUGGGGGAUCUUCGGACCUCACGCUAUCAGAUGAGCCUAGGUCGGGUUAGCUAGUUGGUGGGGUAAAGGCCUACCAAGGCGACGAUCCGUAACUGGUCUGAGAGGAUGAUCAGUCACACUGGAACUGAGACACGGUCCAGACUCCUACGGGAGGCAGCAGUGGGGAAUAUUGGACAAUGGGCGAAAGCCUGAUCCAGCCAUGCCGCGUGUGUGAAGAAGGUCUUCGGAUUGUAAAGCACUUUAAGUUGGGAGGAAGGGCAGUAAGUUAAUACCUUGCUGUUUUGACGUUACCAACAGAAUAAGCACCGGCUAACUUCGUG
rnacentral:rRNA from 1 species